CUCAUUCUUUAUCCCUUACAAAUAUGUAAUGGCAGGGUAGGAUAACACAUUUCUUUGCUUCUUUUCAGAAAGGAGGUGUUUGCACUAGAAUGAUACUUGAUACAGUGUGACAGAUAAGUACAUCAUUCAUUUAAACAGUCUAUUUUUGUUGUAAAAGGCUCAAAGGGCUGGAUACUCAGGCCCUAGAAUAAUAGCACUAGUUGCAAGGCUCUUACAAAGCAGGUGGAGUCCGGAUUUCAUUGCACUGCAUGAGUUCAGCAUUCAGUGGGAACAAUAUUAAACUAAUUCUGAUUUUGAAAAUCCAGCCUAUUUAGUAUUUAGUAUCUGCCAAACCAAGAUAAAUAUUUUCAAAUAGAUUCUCUUUGCAUUAGAAAAGAUAUUUUAAGACAGGGCAAAGCCAACUUGCUUUUUGAAGAAUUAUUCACAUAUGUAACAGAAAACAAAAAGAAAACAGAAAUUUAUAACUUACACUAUGAUAUCUGUAGUGUGGAAAGAACAUUUGCAUAUUUCUUCCAUUCAGUGUGCAAGAGAGAUUUACUAGAAGAUGUAAAGAAAUGUGCUACAUGAUACUGAAAUUUACUUUUUCCCCUUAAUGGCUGGGUCUCAUAGAAAUGUACCAGCUGCUGAGGCUGGCAGGCUUUUUAAAUUCCAUGCUUGCAAUUCAGAAAUAAUUUGGUUUUGGGAAUAAACGAGAGUAUGACAGUUUGUCUAUAAAUAUGUCACUAUCUGUUUACUUCACCGAGUGUCGAUUGGAUUAGUUCCUUAUUCAGGGAGAAGAAGCUGAAUCAGCCAUUGCAGACUUCCUGCUGCCUGGAAAAGACCCCUCCUGCUACCAAGGAAAGCCAGGACUGAAAAACCAAAUACUGUGCCCUUGACUUGGUUGUGGGAAAAACAGUUUGCCUAGUAAAGAAGACAUGCUGGAUAUAGCACUGUCAAAAUAAGUGGAGUGUUUCCUGUGAGAGCUGUCAAACAUUUCAUCUUUCAAAAAAUUAUAUUCUGCGAAAAUGCAAAGCAAGAAGGUGAAGAGGUUAUAGUCAAGCUAUCCACAUCCUUUUGACACAGAGAUUCUUCUUUGUAAUAGUUACAAUAAGAGACUUAAAUCCUGAAGAUAUGGAGACUUAAAGUACUACAAAGGAGUCUGUGAAGAAAUAAUUCCUGGAUUCCCAUCAAGGCACAUAGCUCAAAAAUGUUUUAUUUGAAGAAACAGCAAUUUAUGUUCAUAAUAAUACUCUUGUACUUGAAAUGGAAUUGAUGUGCUGAAGUCCAUGACUGAGAUCCCUACUUAGAUCCUUACCAUCUUGAGUCUGUACCUGCUUGACUCUCCAGUGGUACAGCUUUCUUAGAGUCUCACUUAUCUCAUACAAACGAUGGUGAGGUCACCACAUUCAGACAGGUCCCAGGACUUCUUCUGAAGGACAAAAAUUCCAGAUACUAAAAGAUAACAAUGACAUUCCACAGUUGCUUUUAACUAUAGCAUCGUAUUUCAGACGACUUAUAAUAGCUGUUGAAUAACAUCAUUGUUACUUAAAUAAAAAUGCUACCCACUGUUUUAUCAGAAUCACUUUUCAGUUGAAAUUUACAAUUGCAUCACUUAUCACAGCAAGAAAUCCAUUUUACUAAAAAUAAUAGAAGGAGGCACACUUUAUGCUAACUUAGUAUAGCAGUUCAUUUGAAACAAGUGAAUUCUAAAUGUCUGUGAGGGAGUCUUGUACUAAUUACACUGUUUUCCUAUAAUUCAUUUUCUAGAAUUUAGAAAAUAUAUCUAAGGCACUGACAUUUCUGACAUUUUCCAACUGUUUUCUCAGACGAUUUUUGAUGAAUAAAAAUAAUGGAUUCAAAUAUUUCAACAUGAACUUAACUCUUAAAAAAAAAGUAGACUUAAAAAUAGACCAAUGAAUUACUUCAGUAUGUACUUUUUUUUUUAAUCUUAGAGGUCCUUUAUAUUUUUCUGCAGUUCAAAUAUUUCUUCUCAAGAAAUACAUCAGGAAAUCUGGUCCCUGAGCCAGAAAUCUGCAUUAAUAUAAGCUUAAUUUUAAGAACGUUAGCCCAAAUUUGGUUAAUGAUUUCAAUUAGACUCUAUUAUUUUUGAUAUUUUCUGUACAUACUAGCUUCAGGAUAGAUUUCAUAAACAUUUGAAUGUUUUAAAUAUCUAAAUCAUAGUAGAUGGUAUAUUUCAUGUUUUUCUUUGGAACCCUUGAGCCUAGUUUUUUCCUUAACUUGAAUGAAUACAAGAAAAACAUUCCUCAGAUUUCAACUAGUGAUCUCUCUGGAUGCAUUCAGUGCCUAUAAACAAUUGGUAAAAUCCCUUUAUGUUUCUAAUUAAAAACUGUUGAUUCUUAAUGCUGGUCUUCAUAUAAUUUAAUUUUAGAAAACCAAUUUGAGUGUGAGCCGAUAAGUACAGGAACAUGAGAGGGAUUAUGGCCAGGAAUGGCCUAAACAUGAGAUUUGUAAAAGACCCUUAAGAUUGCUAAUCUAUGGAUUGAAGAGUUUAUCUCUUUGAGAUAGAGUGCAUGUCACUCUUCUACACAGGCCAGUCAUAAAAGAGAGAACAAAACCGCGUGUAUCAUUACUGUGAUUUAUUACUGUUUAUUUGUUAUUUUCUACUAUGUUAUGGUUUAAAAAAGUUACAAUAAUUCAGUCAAAUAGCAAACCCAUCACUAAGUUAAUUAAGCAAGCUUUUACACAGCAUGAAUAGCACAGAAUCUAAACUACUAGGAUAACUUUCAGCAACAUAAAUUACAUGACCAUCUUCCAAAUUCCUGUAUAACUUUAUUUACUUGCCAAUUUCUGCAUAAAAUUGAGGUGAAAGACCUAAAGUUUGCAGCCAAAUUCAAUACAAAAGCACAUUUUGUUUUCAACAGAAUGGUUGAAUGAGCAGGAUCUCACAGAACAAAAAAGAAAAGAAUAACACAUAGGAUCAAAUCCUGAAGGAUUUUAUAAUAGUGGGUGCACACAUACGGGAUCAAGGGUAAGUAAGAUGCCCUACACAAGCCUAGUUCGAAUUUGUUCUGACUUUCAAGUGUUAGGAUCCCAAUAACACAAAAGAACAGAAAAAUAAACUAAGUCAAAAUUAAAUUAAAGCAACUUAAAAGUUGCUUGUAUGUCUUUCUGUCUUCAUAGUGUGGCCCACACAAUCCUGCGGCAAUUGGUUCAAUUUCUUAAAUACUGCUUCUUAUUAUUUGAAUGCUUUUGUAAUAUUUUGUCAUACGCCCAGCAAAAGAUUCAUAAAGUAGAUGAUACACAUGAAACACUAAUCAAAAAGAGAAAAAAAAAAACAAAAAAAAAAACAAAAACCUUUUAUGUAUAGCCAUCUAAUUCUGGAGGUUUGGGCUCAAAUUUUUCACCUUAUCUCAGUCACUUGGUUGCAGUAAUUAAGUUAGAGCUUAGGCCUUCAUCUAUGCUUAGUGAAGCAAAUUAUCUUAAUGAGGCAGAAACUCUGAAAGUGUCCACAUGCCUCUAGUAUACAUACACAAAGAGAAAAUCUAAGGUGGUUAGUUUCCUAACUGAGACAUAGGAGUAACAUAGGUUAAGUGCAUAGUCUUCUGUGCAAGUCCAUUCAAAAAACUUAAGUUCUAUCACCUUAGUUUCCUAAUAUCUCUGCUCUGGUAGGUAAACGUUAUAGAACAGAGACCAAACAAAAUGUAGGGCAGGCAUUUUGUUUGGAAGACAAGCAAAUGAAAAAGGCUGUUCAAAGCCUGCAUGUAGCAGGAGUCAAAAAAUCACUUUUGUUAUGAGAUUUUCCGUCUUAUUCUUCUGGCCUACUCGGGCACACGUGACACCUGACAUCCUGGAGGACCUAACACUUGGGUAUUUGACGUUCCUACAACCAAAUAGUAUCGGUAUCACCUCUAUCAACCUGGACAUGUCCUGCCUAACUGAUAAGGAACAGAUAAAGAGGAUUGUAUUGAUCCAUUACCAUACAGUUAUGUUAUGAUAUCACUGUGAAAAUUUACUUUAUAGAUUAUUUAGGAAGAAUGCUUUAGUAGACCAUUUACAAAUACUGUAGAUUUUGUAUUAUUUUAUUUCUAAUCUCACCCUCAUUUGCUGUUUUGCAUGAAGCAUUUAGAUGCAUACUGCCCUAAAAAUGAACUCCCUGGCUAUUUGGAAUUUUUAUGCUGUUACUCCGUGGUCAAUUAAUUCCACUUAAGGUCACAGUUAUGCUUUUCUUUACGUGAGAUGAUACUUUUGUUUGACAUUCAUGUUACUUGUUAUAUCUCAUAAAAGUGAUUAAUGAAGAACUCCUAAUUGUGGCAUACAAGCUUUUUAUUCUUAACACUUCUGCUGCAUAAAGAUUUCUAAGCACUUGAAAUCUAAGUGAGAUGCUCUCCAUUCUGAGAUACAAGACUUAAGACUUAGAUAAAAACAAGAUUAGAUUCUGUAAGGAGUAUUGAACCCAAGUAUGCUCCCAACCCUUGAAGCACACCAUAACUGAGGUAGAAGAUUUGUCUCACAAUUCAGCAUAUCAAGAAAGCUUUUUUUUUUUUUUUUUUUUUGCUUAUUCACAGUCUACAUUAAAAAUUAACCUAAAACUUAAACUCUUACCAAUCUGGGCCUCCUUGUACUAUGUAUUAUAACUCUUGAACAAAAUAUACACAAAUGUACUUACUGAGGCCCAAUGGCUAUAGUAAUUUAAUCAAAAAUAUUUAGUAGUAUUUAGUAGCAUGUUUAGUUACUAGUUCAGUUACUUUAAAGACACCCUCUCCUUACCCUUUUAAAUGUUCAUAUGCAAGCUUAGUUUUACAAUCUAUAUUUCACACAUCAUAUUUUUUUUUCAUUGCUACACUCUCUAAAUGUAACUACAUUAACUGAAGGCAAAGUAGGUGAGAGGAAGAUAUUGCAUCUGGGAUCCCCUAGUUAAAGGCAAGAAUAAUAUUGUUGGCAUGUCUCAGGCCAAAGAUAUCGAAGAGAAGAAAACCUCAGUAAUCUGCAGGACGAACAGAAAAGGAAAAUAAGUUUAGGCUACAUUUAAAAGUUUUCCUGAUGUUGCUAUGCUGCUUCUGGAAUAACCUACUCUAUACAGAACUUGCCCAAUCUGAUACUCUUAAACUUUAUCCCUGAUGAACGCUUUCCAGUAUAGUACCCCAAGCAAGUAAGUGAUGAUAUACUCUGAGACAUCUGAUGCAAGAACUUUUGUGUAUGACUGUGGCAUGGAGAAAUUGUGAAACACUGACUAUUCUGUGCUCUAUUACUUAGGAGAAUUACAGAGCUCCUGCCAUCUGGUUGCACUACAUUCAGUUGUUCUAACGAACCUAAAUUAGGGAAAAGGUUGAGUACAUGUAGAAAAUAUCUGCCCCUCCCGUACACCUAUAAUUAAACAGAAUAGAGUAUUUCUGAAUAUGUUUAAGCUCAUUAGGUUUACGCACUGUCAGUCACGUUGUGGAACAAUCUUUCUCUUUUAAAAUUAAGAGGGACACCAUGACAAUCAAUAAUCAUUCUCUGCAAAAAUGUAUCAACAGUAGAAGGGAAGUCACAACAAAUAAGCUGUAAGAUAAGGAAGCAACUAGAAAAAAAAUAAUAUCCACAAAGCAAGUUUUUAGUAUUAGUAUUGUUUAGAUAAAUCUAAACUGAUGGAUGUUAGUCUGAGCCUUGUAUAGGUAUGAAAUAUUUAUCCUGCCCUUGUGCAGUCUGCAUAAGAGUCAGUCGGGAAUGAUAAAAGUCAGAUAAAAGAGGAACAAAGAAUGUUUUAAAUUGGUGCCUUUUUUAAUCAAAUCAUAAGAGUUUCAAAGGUUUUUUAAACUAGAAAGUUUCAGAGAAAUUGGAAGAGACCAGAAAGUGGGGAAGACAGAAUGAAAUAGCCACAUCCUACACCCGUACUCAAGUCAGAUAGGCAUGAAGCUUUCCUGGAGCAACUCUAGUGCUGCCAUCACUUCCUGAAGUUUCAGAGUCCCUUUCAAAUGACUACACCUGCCAAGUAUGCUCUAAUGCCUUUCUCAAGUACUGCACAUUCACAAGUAAGAAGUACCAAAAUGCCAGAAUAUGUCCAGGCAAAUGACAUUUAGAGUUGAUAUUUUCAAUCAAAAUUUAAUUUCAAAGUAAUAUGAGCUCUAAUUUUAUUUCAAGUUUUUGUUAAUUGUAUUUUCUUUCUCUUACAAUACAUCUCUUACAACCAAACAAUGAAGAGUUCUGUGGAAACAGAAGUGAGACAAAUUCUUUUUUUGCAAAAAUGUGUCAGGGAAAAAGUCUUCUUGGAUUAAUUUUCUAGCAAACUAACAAUCUUGACUACAUUACCUUUGCUGUAUUUGAAGGGGUGUAAACUGCUCUACUCUUUCUUUCCACUUCUCCAGGAAGUGAGAAACUCAUCCUCGUUUAUCACGACUGUAGUCUUUGUAGGUGUGUCAGCAGCAGAGAGUAAGUAGGCAGCAGAUUGGUUUUGUCCUGGUCCUUUGGAACAAUUUGUCUAUUGGAAUUGUGCAGGAAAAUCCUGUAUUCCCUGACCUGUUUUGAAAUUAUACUCUGGCACAUUGAACAAUAGAGAAAUAGUGAAUCAGGUUAACCUUUUUUUAAAAGAAAAAACAAAACAAAACACAUCCACACUGUCCCUUUCAACAACUAUGGAUGAUAACGCUCUCCUUUGGGAACAGUGACAUAGAUGAGGUUCGAUACAUCAGCCUCUCCCCCCAAACCCCCUCCAGUUUAAUAUGGAGAUAUCAGUAGCAAUAUGACAUAAAGCAUAGACAGAUCUUUUCCUCAUUGUUGUGUUCCUCACUGUAAAUUAAUAGAAGCCUGUGCAUGUCUGCAACCAGACUCAACAGGCUUGUUGGCCAAUAUGAACACCACUUCAGCCAUUGUCUUCCAGACAGACAGCGUAUUUAGACUUUUUGCAUCUUAGAUAAAAACCUGAAAGUUCAAGGACAACUUACCCUUAUUUAGUCUUGAUCAGAUUACAGACCAAGAAUACAGGACUUUUGCCUCUAUCUGCUUGUCUUCCAUCAUGCAGGGCUUUCCACUCAUUUAUUUCAUGCCAGAAGCAAUUAAGUUAAUUACUGAUUUUACUAUACCUUUUACUGUGAAAGUGACUGAACAUGGGAAAGGGUUUCUCAGAGAUUUUGUAGAGUCUCAACAUUUUGGUAGUCUAAAGUUUUGACUCUUUUGGUCUCCAAAACCCAACUGGACAUGGCCCUAGGGAACCUGCUCUACCUGACCCUGCUGUGAGUGAGGACUUGGGCUAGAUAAUCUCCACAGGCUCCUUUCUGAUUCUUAGCUACUCUAUGAUUCCACAGCUGCUUGAGGUAAACUGAUUUACGGAAUCUCCUUAUUGCAUAUGGUUCAGCCAUUUUCUGUGUUUGAACUACAGCCAGUAACAGUCAUGACAAUCUACUGUCUUAAGAAUAAAAAAAUAGCCAAUUUCUCACUUAUUAUAAUUUGUGUUUAUGUUUUUCCUUUUCUUCAGAGCUUUCCCACAAUUUUUUUCCUAAUGUUGAUUUAUAUGAAACUAUGCACUACUGGAAAAGAAAUGUCAAGUACUGCAGAUCCUUCCACAGCACAUCAGCUAUGUUUCUGUAUUCAACCUUCAAAACUGCAGAACUGGUUUCUCUGAAACUAUUUCUCUUCCAGGGGAAGAAAAUAUUGCUCCAGAAUAAUCUUAGCUACUGAAAAAAGCUACCACAGACACUGAAAAAGUUCUUUCUUGUUUACCGUCCCCAAAAUACAGGGUGUUGUAAAAUGAUGGACCCAAUUUCUUGUUGAAUUGCAGUUCAGAUUGGGUCUAUCUUCUGGAAACACCCUGUAGACAGGUUUUUAUCAGGUUCAUUUGAUGUGCCAAGUAUUUUAGAUAAUUUAUUAAGGACAGCUAAUUUUUCACUGAGAGUCAUAAUUGCAGAAAACAUCUAUGCUUUCUAUCUCUGGUGAAGCUAGAAUGGGCCUAUUCCAAGUACUAAUGACUUCUUCAAGGUAUUGGUAGAAAAUCAGAACAUAUUAGUUAUUUGAAUAAGGCUCAAAAGAACUGAACACACUAAAAAGUUUUGUUGUGUUUCUUCCUGCUACCUUAAUUGCCUGUGCAUCACUGCAUCUGGUUUUCUACAUGACCAAAAAUUUGCAUAUAUCCUGUUUCAAUGUCAGCUUAAGACUAAUGGUCCCACCUGUGCCCAUGUCUCUUGUCACUAAAAUUCCUUAUAAAGUCUCAUAUUUCCCAUAUGAUUUACAAGGGUAUGUCUUCCGUCUGUCUUCUCUACUUGAAAAUUAAAAAAGAGAAUAUCAAAGAGUAUAUAACUGUCCAAUAUGAAUUAUAUUUUUUGUAUGACUUGCUUUCUCAGUCACUGUCUUCUCCAGUAAAUCCUAGAGAUUUUUAAUCAGACUAACCACUAUUCAUGAAAAAAAAAAAAUAUUUUUUCUGUAUUGGGACUUGAGAAAACAAACUUUUCAGGUCAGGAAUUUUACUUACAUCCUUUUUCGCAGAGACUGAGAAAGAUUGUUUGUCUGAAAACAAACAUAAGAGUAAGUCCUAGUCAUUUUUAUUAGAAAACUGGAAUCUGCCUAAAUGUAUUUUGCUGUAGAAAUGGUCAAGAGUCCUCAUGUGAUUUUUUUUUUUAAAAAAGUUUACAUAGUGAAUUUUCUAGCUUUUCAAAAGGUUCUAGACUCAACACCAGAAAUUCUAUAGCUAAAAAUCGUUACAAUUCUCUCUGCAGAAUUGUAUAAAAAACCUGAAGUAUUAGCUUCAGUAUUAUUCACUUCACCAUCUCAUGGGUGCAAAAAUCCUACUGUGACUACAAGUGGUAGGAAAUAGUAAUGGAAAAUAAAUCUAAAAAGUUUCAAUUUUUUUUCAAAAUUUAAUGGGCAAUUUCAGUCAUAAGUAUGAAGUCUGAUACCAGCACAAGUGACUCAAGCUCUUUGUAUGAAGGCAGAAAUGGUUCCCAAGAGUUUACAGAAUGUAGUGUUUCCUGCCAUAGCCACUGAGAACUGGAGAUAGUCAGUGGUUGCUGUAUUCUGAUUGUGCAAGUAGAAAAUUGUAGGUAAUAAAACUUUGGUGGUUCUUGUCCUCUAUUAAUCCUGUUUCAAAGUUCAGUGUCAAUCAUUUUUUUUUCUUGUGAGAUUAAUCUCAAAUGCGGAAAGAUUGACUGUAAAAUCAGCAGUUCAUCCUAAAUCUUCAGAGACAUGGUAAGUCUUUGUGGGAUUUUUUGAAGUGUUUUUCUCAUGAUUGCUAAUGAUCUGUAAUUAUGUAUCUUUUUAACUUAUGUGUAUGUAUUUUUUGUGUAUGUACCUUUUCAGCUUUCUCUUCACACGCCUUGCCCAUUUAAAAAUAUGUUAGAAAUUACCCUUUGACUAUUACUGUGUUACAACAGGAGAACUCAUUAGAGAAAGGUUAUUUAAAUUUUUAGAUUCUAAUUAUAUUAGUCAAAGACAUUUUAGUUCAAAAAGAAAGAAGAAUCUUUUUACACUAAAAAUCAAAAAUAAUUCUGGGAACGACAUCAGUGUCUGAGGAAAGAGAAAUAUGAAAUGUAAUACUGAUCCCAGUCUUUGACUGAAGUCUGCUACUUUUUAAUCUACUUUUUAUUUUUUCAAACAUUUGGAACUGCAUAUUGAGUACGUGUGGAGGGGGUUUUGGUAGAUAAAGAUUUGUUGCUGAAUUAGUCAGGCUCAAAGGAAUCUCAAGGCCACUUCGAGAAGCUGAGAACAGAAUCUGCUGUGAGAGAGAGGGGCGUUCCUCAAUCACCGGGGUCCUGGCGUGGCUUGAAUCAUCGGACGUAUCAUCAGUGAGACUCCAGCGCAUGGACAGCCCAUGAUACUCAUUUAGCGAAUCCAUGCUUGGAGCCUGGACGCGUGAUUAGAAUAUAGUUGCAUAUAUAAGGAGGCUGGUUUCUGUAAUAAAUGGCUUUAGUGUGAUUCACA